rnacentral:rRNA from 1 species
GACAGAGGUGCCGAGCGUUAGGCGGAAUCACUGGGCUUAAAGCGUGUGUAGGCGGGCCGUUAAGUAUCUUGUGAAAUCCCCCGGCUCAACCGGGGGAUGGCUGGAUAUACUGGCGGUCUUGAGCGAUCUAGGGGCAGAUGGAACAAGUGGUGGAGCGGUGAAAUGCGUAGAUAUCACUUGGAACGCCAAAGGUGAAAACAGUCUGCUGGGGAUCUGCUGACGCUGAGACACGAAAGCCAGGGGAGCGAACGGG